rnacentral:rRNA from 1 species
UGGGGAAUAUUGGACAAUGGGCGAAAGCCUGAUCCAGCCAUGCCGCGUGUGUGAAGAAGGCCUUUUGGUUGUAAAGCACUUUAAGCGAGGAGGAGGCUACUUAGAUUAAUACUCUAGGAUAGUGGACGUUACUCGCAGAAUAAGCACCGGCUAACUCUGUGCCAGCAGCCGCGGUAAUACAGAGGGUGCGAGCGUUAAUCGGAUUUACUGGGCGUAAAGCGUGCGUAGGCGGCUUUUUAAGUCGGAUGUGAAAUCCCUGAGCUUAACUCAGGAAUUGCAUUCGAUACUGGGAAGCUAGAGUAUGGGAGAGGAUGGUAGAAUUCCAGGUGUAGCGGUGAAAUGCGUAGAGAUCUGGAGGAAUACCGAUGGCGAAGGCAGCCAUCUAGCCUAAUACUGACGCUGAGGUAAGAAAGCAUGGGGAGCAAACAGG